rnacentral:rRNA from 1 species
UACGGAGGGGGCUAGCGUUGUUCGGAAUUACUGGGCGUAAAGCGCACGUAGGCGGCUUUGUAAGUCAGAGGUGAAAUCCCGGGGCUCAACCCCGGAACUGCUUUGAGACUGCAUCGCUUGAAUCCAGGAGAGGUGAGUGGAAUUCCGAGUGUAGAGGUGAAAUUCGUAGAUAUUCGGAAGAACACCAGUGGCGAAGGCGGCUCACUGGACUGGUAUUGACGCUGAGG